rnacentral:rRNA from 1 species
UUAAGCGACUAAGCGUACACGGUGGAUGCCCUGGCAGUCAGAGGCGAUGAAGGACGUGCUAAUCUGCGAAAAGCGUCGGUAAGGUGAUAUGAACCGUUAUAACCGGCGAUGUCCGAAUGGGGAAACCCAGUGCAAUUCGUUGCACUAUCGUUAACUGAAUACAUAGGUUAACGAGGCGAACCGGGGGAACUGAAACAUCUAAGUACCCCGAGGAAAAGAAAUCAACCGAGAUUCCCCCAGUAGCGGCGAGCGAACGGGGAGCAGCCCAGAGUCUGAAUCAGCUUGUGUGUUAGUGGAACGGUCUGGAAAGUCCGACGGUACAGGGUGAUAGUCCCGUACACCAAAAUGCACAGGUUGUGAACUCGAAGAGUAGGGCGGGACACGUGGUAUCCUGUCUGAAUAUGGGGGGACCAUCCUCCAAGGCUAAAUACUCCUGACUGACCGAUAGUGAACCAGUACCGUGAGGGAAAGGCGAAAAGAACCCCGGCGAGGGGAGUGAAAAAGAACCUGAAACCGUGUACGUACAAGCAGUGGGAGCACCUUCGGGUGUGACUGCGUACCUUUUGUAUAAUGGGUCAGCGACUUAUAUUCUGUAGCAAGGUUAACCGUAUAGGGGAGCCGCAGGGAAACCGAGUCUUAACUGGGCGUUAAGUUGCAGGGUAUAGACCCGAAACCCGGUGAUCUAGCCAUGGGCAGGUUGAAGGUUGGGUAACACUAACUGGAGGACCGAACCGACUAAUGUUGAAAAAUUAGCGGAUGACUUGUGGCUGGGGGGUGAAAGGCCAAUCAAACCGGGAGAUAGCUGGUUCUCCCCGAAAGCUAUUUAGGUAGCGCCUCGUGAACUCAUCUUCGGGGGUAGAGCACUGUUUCGGCUAGGGGGUCAUCCCGACUUACCAACCCGAUGCAAACUACGAAUACCGAAGAAUGUUAUCACGGGAGACACACGGCGGGUGCUAACGUCCGUCGUGAAGAGGGAAACAACCCAGACCGCCAGCUAAGGUCCCAAAGUCAUGGUUAAGUGGGAAACGAUGUGGGAAGGCACAGACAGCCAGGAUGUUGGCUUAGAAGCAGCCAUCAUUUAAAGAAAGCGUAAUAGCUCACUGGUCGAGUCGGCCUGCGCGGAAGAUGUAACGGGGCUAAACCAUGCACCGAAGCCGCGGCAGCGACACUAUGUGUUGUUGGGUAGGGGAGCGUUCUGUAAGCCUGCGAAGGUGGCCUGUGAGGGCUGCUGGAGGUAUCAGAAGUGCGAAUGCUGACAUAAGUAACGAUAAAGCGGGUGAAAAGCCCGCUCGCCGGAAGACCAAGGGUUCCUGUCCAACGUUAAUCGGGGCAGGGUGAGUCGACCCCUAAGGCGAGGCCGAAAGGCGUAGUCGAUGGGAAACAGGUUAAUAUUCCUGUACUUGGUGUUACUGCGAAGGGGGGACGGAGAAGGCUAUGUUAGCCGGGCGACGGUUGUCCCGGUUUAAGCAUGUAGGCGGAGGUUCCAGGUAAAUCCGGUACCUUUUAACGCUGAGGUGUGAUGACGAGGCACUACGGUGCUGAAGUAACAAAUGCCCUGCUUCCAGGAAAAAGCCUCUAAGCAUCAGGUAACAUUGAAUCGUACCCCAAACCGACACAGGUGGUCAGGUAGAGAAUACCAAGGCGCUUGAGAGAACUCGGGUGAAGGAACUAGGCAAAAUGGUGCCGUAACUUCGGGAGAAGGCACGCUGGUGUGUAGGUGAAGUCCCUGCGGACGGAGCUGAGACCAGUCGAAGAUACCAGCUGGCUGCAACUGUUUAUUAAAAACACAGCACUGUGCAAACACGAAAGUGGACGUAUACGGUGUGACGCCUGCCCGGUGCCGGAAGGUUAAUUGAUGGGGUUAUCCGUAAGGAGAAGCUCUUGAUCGAAGCCCCGGUAAACGGCGGCCGUAACUAUAACGGUCCUAAGGUAGCGAAAUUCCUUGUCGGGUAAGUUCCGACCUGCACGAAUGGCGUAAUGAUGGCCAGGCUGUCUCCACCCGAGACUCAGUGAAAUUGAACUCGCUGUGAAGAUGCAGUGUACCCGCGGCAAGACGGAAAGACCCCGUGAACCUUUACUAUAGCUUGACACUGAACAUUGAGCCUUGAUGUGUAGGAUAGGUGGGAGGCUUUGAAGCGUGGACGCCAGUCUGCGUGGAGCCAACCUUGAAAUACCACCCUUUAAUGUUUGAUGUUCUAACGUUGGCCCGUAAUCCGGGUUGCGGACAGUGUCUGGUGGGUAGUUUGACUGGGGCGGUCUCCUCCCAAAGAGUAACGGAGGAGCACGAAGGUUAGCUAAUCCUGGUCGGACAUCAGGAGGUUAGUGCAAUGGCAUAAGCUAGCUUGACUGCGAGCGUGACGGCGCGAGCAGGUGCGAAAGCAGGUCAUAGUGAUCCGGUGGUUCUGAAUGGAAGGGCCAUCGCUCAACGGAUAAAAGGUACUCCGGGGAUAACAGGCUGAUACCGCCCAAGAGUUCAUAUCGACGGCGGUGUUUGGCACCUCGAUGUCGGCUCAUCACAUCCUGGGGCUGAAGUAGGUCCCAAGGGUAUGGCUGUUCGCCAUUUAAAGUGGUACGCGAGCUGGGUUUAGAACGUCGUGAGACAGUUCGGUCCCUAUCUGCCGUGGGCGCUGGAGAAUUGAGGGGGGCUGCUCCUAGUACGAGAGGACCGGAGUGGACGCAUCACUGGUGUUCGGGUUGUCAUGCCAAUGGCACUGCCCGGUAGCUAAAUGCGGAAGAGAUAAGUGCUGAAAGCAUCUAAGCACGAAACUUGCCCCGAGAUGAGUUCUCCCUGAGACUUUAAGUCUCCUGAAGGAACGUUGAAGACGACGACGUUGAUAGGCCGGGUGUGUAAGCGCAGCGAUGCGUUGAGCUAACCGGUACUAAUGAACCGUGAGGCUUAACCUU